UACGUAGGGGGCAAGCGUUGUCCGGAAUCAUUGGGCGUAAAGCGCGUGUAGGCGGUCUGUUACGUCGGGAGUGAAAACUCGGGGCUCAACCCCGAGCCUGCUUCCGAUACGGGCAGACUAGAGGUAUGCAGGGGAGAAUGGAAUUCCUGGUGUAGCGGUGAAAUGCGCAGAUAUCAGGAGGAACACCGGUGGCGAAGGCGGUUCUCUGGGCAUUACCUGACGCUGAGGAGCGAAAGUGUGGGGAGCGAACAGG
rnacentral:rRNA from 1 species